CAGAUACACAUACAUACAGAGACAGAAGGUGUGGGUGACCGUGUGGGAGGGAGUGUGUGCUGGUGACAGCUUUGGGGGGCAGUGUGAGAGAGUUACAGUGGGCGGUCAGGGGGGAAAAAGGGUUACAGCGAUGCGGGCAUGGGAAGAAAGGGCUACCGUGGGGGGGGGAGGAAAUCAGGGUGAUAAAGGGUUACAGUGGAGGGGCAAGGAGAGCAAGGGUU